GACGAACCGUCCGAACGUUAUUCGGAAUCACUGGGCUUAAAGGGUGCGUAGGCUGCGCAGCAAGUUGGGUGUGAAAUCCCUCGGCUUAACCGAGGAACUGCGCCCAAAACUGCUGUGCUCGAGGGAGAUAGAGGUGAGCGGAACUUAGGGUGGAGCGGUGAAAUGCGUUGAUAUCCUAAGGAACACCGGUGGCGAAAGCGGCUCACUGGAUCUCUUCUGACGCUGAGGCACGAAAGCUAGGGUAGCGAACGGG
rnacentral:rRNA from 1 species